AACGAACGCUGGCGGCAUGCCUAACACAUGCAAGUCGAACGAAGCCUUCGGGCUUAGUGGCGCACGGGUGCGUAACACGUGGGAAUCUGCCCUUCGGUUCGGAAUAACAGUUAGAAAUGACUGCUAAUACCGGAUGAUGACGAAAGUCCAAAGAUUUAUCGCCGAAGGAUGAGCCCGCGUAGGAUUAGGUAGUUGGUAGGGUAAUGGCCUACCAAGCCGACGAUCCUUAGCUGGUCUGAGAGGAUGAUCAGCCACACUGGGACUGAGACACGGCCCAGACUCCUACGGGAGGCAGCAGUGGGGAAUAUUGGACAAUGGGCGAAAGCCUGAUCCAGCAAUGCCGCGUGAGUGAUGAAGGCCUUAGGGUUGUAAAGCUCUUUUACCAGGGAUGAUAAUGACAGUACCUGGAGAAUAAGCUCCGGCUAACUCCGUGCCAGCAGCCGCGGUAAGGCUACGUAGA
rnacentral:rRNA from 1 species